GACGAACGCUGGCGGCGUGCUUAACACAUGCAAGUCGAACGGAAAGGCGCUGCUUUUGUGGGGUGCUCGAGUGGCGAACGGGAGAGUAACGCGUGAGUAACCUGCCCUGGACCUUGGGAUAACUUCAGGGAACGGGGGCGAAUACCGGAUAGGAGCUCCUGCUGCAGGGGGGGGGUUGGAAAGUGUCGGCGGUUGGGGCUGGGGGCGGGGCGUAUGAGCUUGUUGGGGGGGUAGGGGGGGACCACGGCUUGGACGGGUAGCCGGUCUGAGAGGGUGACCGGCCCCGUUGGGACUGAGACACGGCGCAGACUCGUACGGGAGUCAGCAGUGGGGAAUAUUGCACAGUGGGCGGGAGCCUGAUGCGACGGCGCCGCGCGCGGGAUGACCGCCUUCCGGUUGUGAACCGCUUUCGCCUGGGACGUAGCGUGAGUGACGGUAAUGGGUAAAGAAGCACCGGCUAACUACGUG
rnacentral:rRNA from 1 species